CAGUCGCCGCGGUAAUACGUAGGGUGCGAGCGUUAAUCGGAAUUACUGGGCGUAAAGCGUGCGCAGGCGGUUGUGUAAGACAGGUGUGAAAUCCCCGGGCUUAACCUGGGAACUGCGCUUGUGACUGCACAGCUAGAGUAUGGCAGAGGGGGGUGGAAUUCCACGUGUAGCAGUGAAAUGCGUAGAGAUGUGGAGGAACACCGAUGGCGAAGGCAGCCCCCUGGGCCAAUACUGACGCUCAUGCACGAAAGCGUGGGGAGCGAACAGGAUUAGAUACCCCGGUAGUCCCUGUCUCUUAUAC
rnacentral:rRNA from 1 species